CUAAGAUGCGAGGCGGCGAAAGUACUGACGCACGUGGCGUCCCAUAAUAAGCACUUACCUCUUUCCCACGGCACCAGGGUCAAGCCGUCAGGCCUUUUGCCCGCAACGGCAGCAGCUCAAGGCAUGGUGACCGUUGCUCUCCACAGUGGAACCGCAGAUGCAUUGGUGUGGUUGGCAUACGUCACAACCUAAGCGGAGAGCAACGGCCACACGCAUCGAGUCGCUGUCUAGUAAGGUGCCUAAGUUUGGGGAGGGAAGAGCGUGUAGCCAGGCUCCAGAUUCAGGCCUGGAGGCAGCGAUUAGCCUGGCUCUGUCAGAACCAGCAGCGGUAU